UCUUAAAUGCUGAUUGACGGACCUCAUU
rnacentral:piRNA from 1 species